ensembl:lncRNA CCDC26 CCDC26 long non-coding RNA
ACUGGGCUUAGAGUCACAUAAGAGACAGAGCAAGUAAAAUAUUACGCUACAGUGCUACUGGCCCAUAAUCAGGCAACUGCAGAGUCUUAGGGGGUUAUCUAAUGUAGUCUUGGGGUGGCUGGAUAGACUUCCCAAAGAAGGUGAUGCCGAAGCUGAGGUCGGAAAUUACGAAGAUCAGCUAUGUAAGUUAAAGGGUGAGGGGAAAGGGAGCCCAAUGAGAGGGAGAGAGGGAAAAAACAGGGAGCGUGCACGUGCACGUGAGAGAGACAGAGACAGAGAGAGAGAAUAUAUGAGAAAGUGAAGAAGAGAAAAUGGGAGAGGGAGAGAAAACAUACAAUUAUGUAUGUCUGGAGCACACCAUAUUAAAGGAGGGAGUGGCAGAAAACGUGAGGUGGGAAUCAAAUCAUGCUGGGCUUUUUGGCCAGGAAGGCCUGAGGAGAGAAGACACAUAGUCAUGCUGACUAAACCAGAUCACCUAGAAUUACCAAAUGGAAAGAUUGUGCCUGCAGCCUGGCCUGUUGCCCACAGCGGUCUACCUGCCACACUGGGAAAGAUCGAGCAGAGACAGAGAAGAAAAGGAGGCUCCAUUUUUCAGGCUGCUCUCCCGCAGGCUCAUGUUUUGUGUUCAUGCCAGGCAGAGAACACAAAAUGUUCCAAUAAAUAAGUAUCAAAGGUUAGUGGUGAAAAUGAAGGAGGAGGAGGCAUUGCGUGAAAAACUAAACAUGCAAAAUAUUACACACAAAGAGAACCAAAAUGCAGGUUCACUGGAAAUGAUAGACAAUAUGUUAAAACAAGAGGAGAGAAGAGAGCUGAAAUAAUCAAAUGGAAACACACAAUUUAGGGCUAAGAUCUUGUUGUGUUCAGCCACAAAUGAUGGCCAGCAGUGAGGAAUCUGUGUGUUCUCCACACUCUUCGCUCCUGGGAAGUCAACUCACAUGGACCAUGAUAUCAAUAUCUGCUCCUUCCCCUAAUAUCUGUUUGACCUUGGGUCAGUUACUUAAACUUCCUAAGCCUUAGUUUCUUUGUCUGGAAAAUAGGGAUAGUUAUACCUACCACACAACCACUUUGUAAUGAAUAUGUUGGAAAUUAUAUGCAAAUUGGCUUCCGUUGGUGUUUGGAACAUAGUAGGUUUUUAACUGGAAUAUAAUAGCUACCAUUAUCAGUAUCAUCAUAUUAAUUUAUAUUUCCAUCUUCAGCCCUUAACCCAGGAUCUUCAGUAAAUGUUGAAUUCUCAAAUUUGUUAAAUUCACUUGUCUAUACUAAUAUUUUACUCUAGGUUUCUUAGAAUAUUCUAGAUAAUAUUAUUAUGUAGAAUAUGUUAUGUAAGCUUCAUCUUAUCUGUAAAUAUAGUUUUACUUUUUCCUUUCUAAUUUUUAUGUCGAUUACUUCUUUUUCUUGGCUUAUUGAAUUGGCUAGGAUUCCCGUACAGUGUUGAAUACGUGCAGCAAGACUGCACAUCUUGCCUUGUUCCUGGUCCCACAGAGAGAAUAUCCAGUACUUCACAAUAAGUAUGUGUUAAUUGUAGAUUUUAUUAGAUUGAGGAAGUUCCCUUUCCUUUCAAGUCAGUCUUUUUAUUUUAAACAUGUAUUGAAGUUUUGUCAAAUGUCUUCAUCUAUUGGAAUAAUUAUACAUAUCUCUUUUUUAUUCUGUUAAUAUUACAUUUCAAUCUUCUGUCUACCUAAAAUCCCUAGAAUAAUCUCCAUUUGGCUAUGAUGUGUUGUGCUUUUAUAUAUUACUGAAUUCUAUAUGCCAAUAUUAUUAAAAUUUUCUGUCUUUAUGAGAAA